UACAGAGGGGGCAAGCGUUGUUCGGAAUUACUGGGCGUAAAGGGCGCGUAGGUGGCCUUCUAAGUUGAACGUGAAAUCCCUGGGCUCAACCCAGGAACUGCGUCCAAGACUGGAGGCUUGAAUCCGGGAGAGGGAUGCGGAAUUCCAGGUGUAGCGGUGAAAUGCGUAGAUAUCUGGAGGAACACCGGUGGCGAAGGCGGCAUCCUGGACCGGUAGUUGACACUGAGGCGCGAA
rnacentral:rRNA from 1 species